UACGUAUGGUGCAAGCGUUAUCCGGAUUUACUGGGUGUAAAGGGAGCGUAGGCGGCGCGUUAAGUCUGAUGUGAAAACCCGAGGCUCAACCACGGGAGUGCAUUGGAAACUGGCGAGCUGGAGUGCCGGAGAGGUAAGCGGAGUUCCUAGUGUAGCGGUGAAAUGCGUAGAUAUUAGGAGGAACACCAGUGGCGAAGGCGGCUUACUGGACGGCAACUGACGCUGAGGCUCGAAAGCGUGGGGAGCAAACAGG
rnacentral:rRNA from 1 species